CUGCCUGCUGGUCACAGGUUUCUCGGAAAUGCCAGUAAGGUUUUCUGUUCCUCUGGAUAUGUUUCUAGAUGGAGCAAUGUCCGAAUUAGAUUUUUCUUCUCCAUCCUGUCUCUCGUGAGUAGCAGGUAUAACUCUGGAAACAUGAAUAUGUUUGAAUGAACGUAUGAGUCAACUGGGCUAACAUCAAAAUUAGAAUGACUCUGGAUCUAAAUAGCCACUUAUGUUAAACAUUAGAUAAUUGCUUCUACAUGGAUGGAAACCAAGAUGAAAUGUGUCAAGAAGGAUUUAUUUCAAAAGAGUGCAUUCUUAAAAGAUUUCAAAGCAUCAGAUAACAAACUGAUGCUUCAGGAGGGAAGGAGCUUUAGUUUCAAGUUCUUUGGGGAGUUGCUCCAAGUAUUAACUGCUGGCCAGGGUGUCAUCACCAAGGAUGUGGCUGCAAGAGGGAAGAGGAGAUGGGGAGAUUCAGCGAGACACACAAGCAGAGGCAGGUCCUGUCUGAAGGAGAGGGACAAACUCAGCUUUCUGAUACAAAUGGGAGAGCUAUAAUUCAAACAUUCAAGAAAAGGUUGCAGGGUCUUUAUAUUCUGGAGGCAGUCUUUGAACUACUUCUGAAGAAAUAAUACCAGCAACCAAAGCAAGAUAAGUGUUAUUUGGG
rnacentral:lncRNA from 1 species